CGUGCUUUACACAUGCAAGUCGAACGGCAGCAUGAUGUAUGAGGAGCAAUCCAAAUACAUUGAUGGCGAGUGGCGGACGGGUGAGCAAUACAUCGAAACCUACCUUGUAGUGGGGGAUAACCUAUCGAAAGAUGGGCUAAUACCGCAUAAUCUCUAAGGAGGAAAGCGGGGGAUCGCAAGACCUCGUGCUAUUAGAAGGGUCGAUGCCCGAUUAGCUAGUUGGUGAGGUAAAGGCUUACCAAGGCAGAGAUCGGUAGCGGUUCUGAGAGGAAGAGCAGCCAAACUGGGACUGAGACACGGCCCAGACUCCUACGGGAGGCAGCAGUGGGGAAUUUUGGACAAUGGGGGCAACCCUGAUCCAGCAACGCCGCGUGAAUGAAGACGGCCUUCGGGUUGUAAAGUUCUUUUGUCCGGGAACAAAAGGUCUAUGCUAAUACCAUAGAUCCAUGAGGGUACCAGAAGAAUAAGCACCGGCUAACUACGUGCCAGCCACCGCGGUAA
rnacentral:rRNA from 1 species